CCUACGGGUGGCUGCAGUGAGGAAUAUUGGUCAAUGGACGAGAGUCUGAACCAGCCAAGUAGCGUGAAGGAUGACUGCCCUAUGGGUUGUAAACUUCUUUUAUAUGGGAAUAAAACGUUCCACGUGUGGGAUUUUGUAUGUACCCUAUGAAUAAGGCUCGGCUAACUCCGUGCCAGCAGCCGCGGUAAUACGGAGGAUCCGAGCGUUAUCCGGAUUUAUUGGGUUUAAGGGGAGCGUAGGUGGAUGGUUAAGUCAGUUGUGAAAGUUUGCGGCUCAACCGUAAAAUUGCAAUUGAAACUGGCAGUCUUGAGUACAGGAGAGGUGGGCGGAAUUCGUGGUGUAGCGGUGAAAUGCUUAGAUAUCACGAAGAACUCCGAUUGCGAAGGCAGUUCACUGGACUGCAACUGACACUGAGGCUCGAAAGUGUGGGUAUCAAACAGGAUUAGAUACCCUUGUAGUC
rnacentral:rRNA from 1 species